rnacentral:rRNA from 1 species
AGGAUGAACGCUGGCGGCGUGCCUAACACAUGCAAGUCGAACGUCCUGUCUCGCAAGAGGCAGGGAGUGGCGGACGGGUGAGUACCACGUGGGUCAUCUACCGUGAGGUGAGGAAUACCGGCGAGAAAUCGCCGACAAGACCGCAUAGGCUCGAUGCAAGUCGAGCAAAGCUCUUUCGAGAGAGGGAGCGCCACACGAGGAGCCUGCGCCCGAUUAGCUAGCUGGUGGAGUAAUGGUUCACCAGGGCGACGAUCGGUAGCUGGUCUGAGAGGACGAUCAGCCACACUGGGAUUGAGAACGGCCCAGACUCCUACGGGGGGCAGCAGUGAGGAAUUUUCGUCAAUGGGGGCAACCCUGAACGAGCAACGCCGCGUGCAGGAAGAAGGUUUUCGGAUCGUAAACUGCUUUUCUCGGGGAAGAGAACGGACGGUACCCGAGGAAUCGAGCCCCGGCUAACUACGCGCCAGCAGCCGCGGU